GAAAUGCGAUAAGUAAUGUGAAUUGCAGAAUUCAGUGAAUCAUCGAAUCUUUGAACGCACCUUGCGCCCCUUGGUAUUCCGAGGGGCAUGCCUGUUUGAGUGUCAUUAAAUUCUCAACCUCAAAAGCUUUUGCUUUAUUGAGGAUUGGAUGUGAGGGCUGCUGGCUUUGAAUAAGAGUCGGCUCCCUUGAAAUGCAUUAGUGGAAACCGCUUGUGGACCACAUUGGUGUGAUAAUUAUCUACGCCGUUGUCUUGUGUCUACAUCGAAUGUACAGUGUAAAAACUGUACACUUCGGUUUGGAGGGUUGCAGUUUGUAAUGAACUGCUCUCUCUGUUGAGGUAUCUGCUUCAAACCGUCCUAAGUCAUUGGACAAAACUAAUUGAUUUGUUUGACCUCAAAU
rnacentral:misc_RNA from 1 species